rnacentral:rRNA from 1 species
AUACGGAGGGUGCAAGCGUUAAUCGGAAUUACUGGGCGUAAAGCGCGCGUAGGCGGUUACUUAAGUCAGAUGUGAAAGCCCCGGGCUCAACCUGGGAACGGCAUUUGAAACUGGGUGACUAGAGUAUAGUAGAGGAGAGUGGAAUUCCACAUGUAGCGGUGAAAUGCGUAGAUAUGUGGAGGAACAUCAGUGGCGAAGGCGACUCUCUGGCCUAAUACUGACGCUGAGGUGCGAAAGCGUGGGGAGCAAACGGGAUUAGAAACCCCAGUAGUCC